AUUUUGUUUUUCAGCUCACUUCAAGGGUACCUGAAGCGAAUUGGCACCAAAGCAGCAGCUGUAUUGCCGCAGUUCUAGCUUCACCUUCACGAUGUUUCCCUUGGUCAAAAACGCACUAAAUCGUCUCCAAGUUCGAAGCAUUCAGCAAACAAUGGCAAGGCAGAGCCACCAGAAACGUACACCUGAUUUUCAUGACAAAUACGGUAAUGCUGUAUUAGCUAGUGGAGCCACUUUCUGUAUUGUUACAUGGACAUACGUAAGUACUAUUGAUUAAUAAUUUCUAUUUCAGAUGUUUUUCAUUCUCAGUCUAUGCAUUCAAAGUGUCUUAACAUAGUAGUGUACAUAUCUAGUUAGGAGGGACUUGAGAGAUUGUGUAAUCUAAUUACCCACACAGUGCAGGGGAUUUUUUCCCCCCAGCAUUCAUCCAUCUUCUGUUCUUAACAUUCCCAGUAAUAAAUUGCUUACUGGAUCACAAGGCAGCCCUUUCCAUAUUGUGUAGCUGUUUUUUUUUUUUUUUUUUUUUUUUUAAGAAGAAGUCUUGCUGUGUCCCCCAGGCUGGAGUGCAGUGGUGCGAUCUUGGCUCACUGCAACCUCUGCCUCCUGGGUUCAAGCACUUCUUCUGCCUCAGGCUCCCAAAUAGCUGGGACUACAGGCGUGCGCCACCAGGCCUGGCUAAUUUU
rnacentral:sRNA from 1 species